CUGAUAGACAACGUCUUGGGGUGGCCGCCUCCUGCAGACCCCUGGCCACGUCAGUAUUUAUUAUUUUUGCGUCUGCAGUGCUGAGUGUGGAGAAACACGUAUGAUACUAAGUGGUGAGGACCCUCCACUAUCUCCAUUCUGGUGGAAAGAGCCAAUGCAUUGGGCCGUAGAGCGUUGGAAUGAAGGGGUCGGCGUGCUCAUUAUUGUAAGAAUUUCUAAGGAAUGAAGGGGUCGGCGUGCUCAUUAUUGUAAGAAUUUCUAAGGCACCUCAACCCCAAGGGGUGUCUCCAUUGGCCGAACAUCUUGUCACUGCUCCCCGAGAUCCCACUGAGCCCGGGCUACUUGUCUUACAGGACUCGGCUGAGGAAGGCAGCAGUCGUAUGUGUUGUGUUGAAAUGAUGGAGACCUGUUGUGUAAAAUCAGGGACUGGAAAAUAAUAAAACAAGUUCAGUGGAUUUGAGGAAUCGCCA